rnacentral:lncRNA from 1 species
GCCUUUAUAUCUCAUUUCAACUCUUUAUUUGAAAAAUAGUAAAAGGAGGCCCCGGGGGUUAAUUUAGUAAAAACAAUCUCUUUUCAAAAGCUUGAUGCCACCAUUGAGUUUGAAACAUCAAAAUUAGCCCAGUAACAUUAUUUGUUUAUUUUCUUGGGGUCCCGAAUAAACUUCGAUAAUCCAUUCAUAAGAUUUCAACCCUUGCAUUUUACUGAUAUUGUAGUUGUUGGUGCAUGACCCUUUCUCUUCACGUUUGUGACCUCCUCUGUCGUGUUUACAAAGCAGUAUUUUUCCUUCAUUCAUAGUUGCGAUAACCAUAUUGUGUUUUCAUAAAGGAAAUUUUCUCUUCCACGCGAUUGCGAUAAGUAACUAGUGGGUUUGGUCCAAUUCUUCAUCGCGUUUGCGAUGUCUCGUCCGCAAUAUCGAUGUUUGUUUCGGGUUGGCAUUUGCAUUCAUGGCCUGAGAAUCUGCAUUUGCAAAGGCCAUUUCUUACCUAGAUAGAAUUUAAUCCCUAUUUCGACCGAAAAUCCCAUUUUCACCAUAUUUCAUCUUUGGAAGCUUGGUUUUGGGCAAUUUCAUACGAGUUUUUGAGAAUUC